UACAGAGGGGGCUAGCGUUGUUCGGAAUUACUGGGCGUAAAGCGCGCGUAGGCGGCUUUGUAAGUUAGAGGUGAAAGCCCGGAGCUCAACUCCGGAACUGCCUUUAAGACUGCAUCGCUAGAAUUGUGGAGAGGUAAGUGGAAUUCCGAGUGUAGAGGUGAAAUUCGUAGAUAUUCGGAAGAACACCAGUGGCGAAGGCGACUUACUGGACACAUAUUGACGCUGAGGUGCGAAAGCGUGGGGAGCAAACGGG
rnacentral:rRNA from 1 species